GACGAACGCUGGCGGCGUGCUUAACACAUGCAAGUCGAACGAUGAAGCUGGAGCUUGCUCCGGUGGAUUAGUGGCGAACGGGUGAGUAACACGUGAGCAAUCUGCCCUUGACUCUAGGAUAACUGCGGGAAACUGUAGCUAAUACCGGAUACGAGAUUUGGAGGCAUCUCCGGAUCUGGAAAGAAUUUCGGUCAAGGAUGAGCUCGCGGCCUAUCAGCUUGUUGGUGAGGUAAUGGCUCCCCAAGGCGACGACGGGUAGCCGGCCUGGGAGGGGGACAGGGCACACUGGGACUGAGACACGGCCCAGACUCCUACGGGAGGCAGCAGUGGGGAAUAUUGCACAAUGGGCGAAAGCCUGAUGCAGCAACGCCGCGUGAGGGAUGAAGGCAUUCGGGUUGUAAACCUCUUUUAGUAGGGAAGAAGCGAAAGUGACGAUACCUACAGAAAAAGCACCGGCUAACUACGUGCCAGCCGCCGCCGUAA
rnacentral:rRNA from 1 species